AUUGAACGCUGGCGGCAUGCCUUACACAUGCAAGUCGAACGGUAACGGGCCUUCGGGUGCCGACGAGUGGCGAACGGGUGAGUAAUGUAUCGGAACGUACCAUUGAGUGGGGGAUAACGUAGCGAAAGUUACGCUAAUACCGCAUAUUCUCUCCGGAGGAAAGCAGGGGACCGCAAGGCCUUGCGCUCUUUGAGCGGCCGAUAUCGGAUUAGCUAGUUGGUGGGGUAAAAGCUCACCAAGGCGACGAUCUGUAGCGGGUCUGAGAGGAUGAUGCGCCACCAUGGAACUGAGAGACGGUCCAGCCUCCUACGGGAGGCAGCAGUGGGGAAUUUUGGACAAUGGGGGCAACCCUGAUCCAGCCAUGCCCCGUGAGUGAAGAAGGCCUUCGGGUUGUAAAGCUCUUUCAGCCGGGAAGAAAUCGCAUGGGCUAAUACCCCGUGCGGAUGACGGUACCGGAAUAAGAAGCACCGGCUAACUACGUGCCAGCAGCCGCCGUAA
rnacentral:rRNA from 1 species